ACCCUAGAGGCUUCUUGGAAAAAAUGAAAUUUGAACCAGACCUGAAAGGAUGAAUCUGCUUUGGAAAAGCAGAAGGGAGAACAUUCAAGUACAGUGUCUUGACCUGCAAUGGCUAGGAGGUGUGGAUGAACAUGUGUUUGUGAGAAGGUGAGGGGACCCAGAGGGCAGCACCAGGUGUCUUCACUCCCUUUCACUAGCUGGGAUAGAAGAGGCUUCAUCUCCUGUGGCAACUCUGGUCAAUUGCAGUGGCUGCCUGGAGUGCUGGGCUGAGAACAGUGUUAAGGACACACAGUGCUCAGCAGCGAAGAGUGCUGUCAUUGAUUAGUGAUGUCUGCUGCAGGUGUGGGAGGGGAGAGGAGUAACAUGUGUUUCAAGAACAUGCCAGUUUUUCCCUAGACACUGUUUGGUGCAUAUUCCAAAGGACCUCCGGUGUGGGGAGAGUUUUAUUCCUUUUUCCUCUCUUGAAUUACAAUCAAUAAAUGCUGAGAGCAACAUCUGUGACUUUAAACGCUAUCUUAUCACCUCUCUGCCAAUUUCUCAACUCCAAGUGUGCCAAUUCCCCUUUGUCACUUUUCAGGCUGCUCAGAGAAGUCAGGGUCUUUGUCUCUGCUGCCUAGGUGCAGGAGAGAGCAGUCUUUCAACUAGGCACAAAUAACAACAUUGACUCAAGAGAAGGCUUUGAAGGCACUGAAGAGGGGAAGAGAACAGGGGAAAUUCCAGGCACGGACAUUUGCUAAUACUCAUUUGUCCAACCGGUAUUUUCAAAUGAUGGAUUUCUGGAAAAUUGGAGCCUGGAGGGUGACUUUUCAUAAGAUAGGCUCUGAUCUUUGAUCCAUUUAAAAAACUGCAUACUGGUAGGAAGACUGCAUCGCUGCAGCAAGAAAGUAACCUGGCACACAUGGUAAGGACUUCGUGACCAAAAACUCAAAAGCAAAUGCAACAAAAACAAAGAUAAAUAGAUGGGACUUAAUUAAACUAAAAAGCUUCUGCACAGCAAAAGAAAUAAUCAGCAGAGUAAACAGGCAACCAUGGAGUGGGAUAAAUCUUCACAACCUAGACAUCUGACAAAAGACUAAUAUCCAGAAUCUACAAGGAACUCAAACAAAUCAGCAAGAAGAAAACCAAACAAUC
rnacentral:lncRNA from 1 species